GACGAACGCUGGCGGCGUGCUUAACACAUGCAAGUCGAACGGAAAGGCCCUGCUUGCCGGUUACUCUCGUGUCGAACGGGUGAGUAACACGUGGGUGAUCUGCCCUGCACUUCGGGAUAUGCCUUGGAAACUCGGUCUAUUACCCGAUAUGAGCCUUUCUUAGUGUUAUGUUUUGAAAGUUUUUUGGGUGUAGGAUGAGCUCUCGGCCUCUCAGCUUGUUGGUGGGGUAAUGGGCUAACAAGGCGGCGCCGGGUAGCCGGGCUGGGAGGGUGGACGGGCAAAAUUGGACUGGGGAAAGGCCCAGGAUCCUAAGGGAGGGAGGAGGGGGGAAUAAUGGAAAAAGGGCGGAAGGCUGAUGGAGGGGAGGCGGGGGGGGGAAGAAGGGCUUCGGGUUGGAAAACCCUUUCGGUAGGGACGAAGGUGAUAGUGACGGUACCUAGAGAAGAAGCACCGGCUAACUACGUG
rnacentral:rRNA from 1 species